rnacentral:rRNA from 1 species
GAUGAACGCUAGCGGCAGGCCUAAUACAUGCAAGACGAACGGUAAGUUGAGUAGCAAUACUUAGCCAAGAGUGUCGUACGGGUGCGUAACACGUAUGCAACCUACCCUAUACAGGAGGAUAGCCUAGGGAAACCUGGAUUAACCCUUCAUAGUAUUAUUGGAUGGCAUCAUUUGAUAAUUAAAACUGAGGUGGUAUAGGAUGGGCAUGCGUCUGAUUAGUUAGUUGGCGGGGUAAUGGCCCACCAAGACGAUGAUCAGUAGGGGUUCUGAGAGGAAGAUCCCCCACACUGGCACUGAGAUACGGGCCAGACUCCUACGGGAGCAGCAGUAGGGAAUAUUGGUCAAUGGAUGCAAGUCUGAACCAGCCAUGCCGCGUGCAGGAAGAAGGCCUUCUGGGUUGUAAACUGCUUUUGCCAGGGGAUAAAAUUUCCAUGCGUGGAAAACUGAAGGUACCUGGUGGAUAAGCCACGGCUAACUACGUGCCAGCAGCCGCGGUAAU